ACACAUGCAGUCGAGGGGUAGAGUUCUUCGGAACUUGAGACCGGCGCACGGGUGCGUAACGCGUAUGCAAUCUACCUUAUACAGGGGAAUAGCCCAGAGAAAUUUGGAUUAAUGCCCCAUAGUGUUAUAGAAUCGCAUGGUUUUAUAACUAAAGUUCCAACGGUAUAAGAUGAGCAUGCGUCCCAUUAGUUAGUUGGUAAGGUAACGGCUUACCAAGACAAUGAUGGGUAGGGGUCCUGAGAGGGAGAUCCCCCACACUGGUACUGAGACACGGACCAGACUCCUACGGGAGGCAGCAGUGAGGAAUAUUGGUCAAUGGGCGCAAGCCUGAACCAGCCAUGCCGCGUGCAGGAAGACGGUCCUAUGGAUUGUAAACUGCUUUUAUACAGGAAGAAACCUCCCUACGUGUAGGGACUUGACGGUACUGUAGGAAUAAGGAUCGGCUAACUCCGUGCCAGCAGCCGCGGUAAUACGGAGGAUCCAAGCGUUAUCCGGAAUCAUUGGGUUUAAAGGGUCCGUAGGCGGCCUUAUAAGUCAGUGGUGAAAUCUCCUAGCUCAACUAGGAAACUGCCAUUGAUACUGUAGGGCUUGAAUUUUUGUGAAGUAACUAGAAUAUGUAGUGUAGCGGUGAAAUGCUUAGAUAUUACAUGGAAUACCAAUUGCGAAGGCAGGUUACUAACAAACGAUUGACGCUGAUGGACGAAAGCGUGGGGAGCGAACAGGAUUAGAUACCCUGGUAGUCCACGCCGU
rnacentral:rRNA from 1 species